GGCCUAGUGGUCUAGUGGUAUGAUACGCCGUUCGGAUGUCAAAGUCCCCACCUCCCAAAGGAGGUGGUUCUUGUGUCGGCGUGGUCCGGGGUUCAAUUCCCCGCUAAGCCC
rnacentral:tRNA from 1 species